AUUAAACGCUGGCGGCAUGCCUUACACAUGCAAGUCGAACGGUAGCGCGGGGCAACCUGGCGACGAGUGGCGAACGGGUGAGUAAAGCAUCGGAACGUGCCCUGGAAUGGGGGAUAACGUAGCGAAAGUUACGCUAAUACCGCAUAUUCUGUGAGCAGGAAAGCAGGGGAUCGCAAGACCUUGCGUUCUGGGAGCGGCCGAUGUCGGAUUAGCUAGUUGGUGGGGUAAAAGCCUACCAAGGCGACGAUCCGUAGCGGGUCUGAGAGGAUGAUCCGCCACACUGGGACUGAGACACGGCCCAGACUCCUACGGGAGGCAGCAGUGGGGAAUUUUGGACAAUGGGCGGAAGCCUGAUCCAGCCAUGCCGCGUGGGUGAAGAAGGCCUUCGGG
rnacentral:rRNA from 1 species